rnacentral:rRNA from 1 species
UGAGCAACCUGCUUCUGACUCUGGGAUAACCCCGGGAAACCGGAGCUAAUACCGGAUACGACACGCGAAGGCAUCUUCUGCGUGUAGAAAGAUUUAUCGGUCAGGGAUGGGCUCGCGGCCUAUCAGCUUGUUGGUGGGGUAACGCCCACCAAGGCGACGACGGGUAGCCGGCCUGAGAGGGCGACCGGCCACACUGGGACUGAGACACGGCCCAGACUCCUAUGGGAGGCA